GACUCCGUAGCUCAGAGGCUAGAGCAGGGCAUAGUUAAUGUCAAGAUCACAGGUUCGAGUCCUGUAGGAGUCG
rnacentral:tRNA from 1 species